rnacentral:rRNA from 1 species
GAUGAACGCUAGCGACAGGCUUAACACAUGCAAGUCGAGGGGCAGCAUAAAAGUAGCAAUACUUUGGUGGCGACCGGCGCGACGGGUGAGUAACGCGUAUGCAACCUACCUAUCAGGAGGGGGACUAACCCGGCGAAAGUCGGACUAAUACCGCAUAAAACAGGGGCACCGCAUGGUGAUAUUUGUUAAAAAUUUAUUGCUGAUAGAUGGGCAUGCGUUCCAUUAGGUAGUUGGAGAGGUAACGGCUCACCAAGCCUACGAUGGAUAGGGGAACUGAGAGGUUGGUCCCCCACACUGGUACUGAGACACGGACCAGACUCCUACGGGAGGCAGCAGUGAGGAAUAUUGGUCAAUGGGCGAGAGCCUGAACCAGCCAAGUCGCGUGAAGGAAGAAGGAUCUAUGGUUCGUAAACUUCUUUUGCAGGGGAAUAAAGUGCAGGACGUGUCCUGUUUUGUAUGUACCCUGAGAAUAAGGAUCGGCUAACUCCGUG